AGACUAUCUGUCAAUGGAGACCACAGAAAGAAAUGAGAGAGAACUUGAUCUUUAAUCGAGUGAUAAGGGAGGAAAUGCUAGAGGCAGUUGGGGAAAAUUAUAACCGAGUAGUUGGAAAUAUAUGGGUUUCUCGUGCUGGACAUUAAGGCUGGUGUUUUACUUUAAAAUGGUCACAGGAGAGGUGGAAAGGGCUUCUGUGUGGUAUUGAGGAGAGUUCAGGCAGGUAGAAAACAAGUGGUGCACCGAACUUUUCCUAAAAAAUAAUUAAGCUUUAUUUUUAAGAAAAUAAAUUUUCACGUAAAUCUAAAGUUUAGUCACUUUUCAGAAUGAACAUACAAGACUCGAAGACUCUUAUGACUGCAAAUAUAUAUCAUUUCUGUUGCAUAAAAUGCCCGUGUCAUUGAUACGGCGCUUCCUGAUUUUGUGAGACCAUCGGUGCCGCUCCAAUUUCGCUUUCGUUCCGGAAUCAUCCAUCCCUUCGGCUGUUCCAUUGCAUGGUCGCCAUCCAGUCCGUCCCUUCGAGCGGUUCGGCCUCUCAAACUUUGUCAUUCUCUCAAUCUAUUACCAUCCGUAGAGGCGGGCGAGCCCGAAGAACGAGUCCAGCGGCAGCAUAAUCUCGAAGCAUAGCGGUUGUACUCGUGACCAAGAAACUCCUGAAGAGCACGGGAAAGGCACCGUGGAUCGCCGGCACGGCCUUACUGAUCCUGUGUGGUCCGGCCCCCCAGGCGCCAUGGACGAUGUCAGAGCAAGCUCGGCUUGGGUCAUCACCCACGACUCCCACGUGCUCGUCGAUUCCACAGGUUCUCCAAGAUCACCCCAAGACGUGGCCGUUCGGUUACAUGUCAAUGCUGCGUCUUUGGGGGAGGUUUAGGUGGUUCUAUACUUCUUGCUGGAUUGAGAGAAUCGUGGAGAAUAUUCGCCCUAUGCCAAAGUGAAUUGGGAUUUCCAGGGAUUCACUAUUUCGACAAUGUCCCGCUCACGGUUCAGUACCCGUGAAGUUGCCUUAAAGUUUUGACUUUGUCUUGAACUAAAGGCUGCAUUUCAUAGGAACCUGGAUUGAUGCUGCGAGCUUUUUUCCAGCUUGUGUAAUGGGUUUAAGCCCCACAACUUCCAAUAUUGAAGCCUCUGCUCAAAAGACUGCCGUUGUUUAUGUGGACAUGGUAAUCUCCAUGCCCUACUGUCAGCAAUGAACAAACAAAACAAUCUUAACAUUCGAAGAUCAAACAGGCAGCUGUUAGUUAAAAAUUGUAACGAGCUAGACACAAAAUCCUGGAAAUCUUUUGGAUUCUCUUUCACAACAUAACAGAUGAGAGAUGAUAGAUGGGUCAAUGUUGCUCAGACCUUAUGCCACAUAUCGCACAAUGAUAAAAGUGGUCCAUUCAUGGAUUUAAUUGCUUUUAUGUCGUAUUAAAGGGUGGCUUUGGCGGUGGAAAUGGAAGAUCUAGCAGUUAUACGACAACAGAUAUAAUUGGAUAUCCAUCCAUUAAAAGGGCGAUCAUGCUCUUCUAAUAAAGGGGCCUAAUCCAAAAUUUGUGACAGCAUAUGGUUUUUUCUUAAAUAAAAAUGCACAAGGGACCAAUCUCAACUAGACCAAAGCAAUUUGAGUUACCAACCAAAGUUUCAUAAAUUAAAUUUGCUUGUAAGGGUAAAUGAUGUUAAUUUUGUCAUUAUUCUUUCAGUGCUUUGAAUUCCUUUUGCUUAAACCAAACUUCAAAUCCAGUGCAGUGUCCAU